rnacentral:rRNA from 1 species
UGAGGAAUAUUGGUCAAUGGCCGGAAGGCUGAACCAGCCAAGUCGCGUGAGGGAAUAAGGCCCUACGGGUCGUAAACCUCUUUUGUCGGGGAGCAAAUGGGUGACUUGCGAGUCAUCAGGGAGAGUACCCGAAGAAAAAGCAUCGGCUAACUCCGUGCCAGCAGCCGCGGUAAUACGGAGGAUGCGAGCGUUAUCCGGAUUUAUUGGGUUUAAAGGGUGCGCAGGCGGUACGGAAAGUCAGCGGUAAAAUUACGGAGCUCAACUCCGCCGAGCCGUUGAAACUUCCGCACUAGAGUGAGCGAGAAGUAAGCGGAAUGCGUGGUGUAGCGGUGAAAUGCAUAGAUAUCACGCAGAACGCCGAUUGCGAAGGACAGCUUACCGGCGCUCAACUGACGCUCAGGCACGAAAGUGCGGGUAUCGAACAGGAUUAGAUACC